rnacentral:rRNA from 1 species
AGUCAAUAGAUACCCGGGUAGUCCACGCCGUAAACGAUGAAUACUAGGUGUAGGGGUUGUCAUGACCUCUGUGCCGCCGCUAAACGCAUUAAGUAUUCCGCCUGGGGAGUACGGUCGCAAGAUUAAAACUCAAAGGAAUUGACGGGGGCCCGCACAAGCAGCGGAGCAUGUGGUUUAAUUCGAAGCAACGCGAAGAACCUUACCUAGACUUGACAUCUCCUGAAUUACUCUGUAAUGGAGGAAGCCCUUCGGGGCAGGAAGACAGGUGGUGCAUGGUUGUCGUCAGCUCGUGUCGUGAGAUGUUGGGUUAAGUCCCGCAACGAGCGCAACCCUUAUUGUUAGUUGCUACCAUUAAGCUGAGCACUCUAGCGAGACUGCCCGGGUUAACCGGGAGGAAGGUGGGGAUGACGUCAAAUCAUCAUGCCCCUUAUGUCUAGGGCUACACACGUGCUACAAUGGCUGGUACAGAGAGAUGCUAAACCGCGAGGUGGAGCCAAACUUUAAACCAGUCUCAGUUCGGAUUGUAGGCUGAAACUCG